UGUAGGAGCGAGCCUGCUCGCGAUAGCGGUAUAUCAGUCACCUUUUAUAUUGACUGAACCACCGCUUUCGCGAGCAGGCUCGCUCCCACA
rnacentral:antisense_RNA from 1 species